rnacentral:lncRNA from 1 species
CUCUAUUCACAUUUUCAGUCUAUUCAUGAGAUUGCAUUCUUUAUAUCCAUAUAUCUUCAAGAUGACUGUCUCGUGUCCUUGUAAUCUGACUCUGCUGUCAAGAAAGGUAUGUUUGGGGGAAACAACUGCAAGCUAACUCUUCAGGUUCACCCGAAGGCGACUAAUCAAACUGAGGUCCUAAGAUCAACAAGUCUCACUCACAAGCAAGGAGGCUAAGCAACAAAACCAUAAAUCUGAUGUCACCAAAAUCUUUAACAACACAAUCGCAUGGAUGAAAAUUGUAUUUUAUAGUGUUUGUUGUUCAGCCUUCACACCUUUUAUCAUUGAAUUGAUUCAUUAUGCUUGUACAAUAUGGUAUUAAUAUGUGUUAUAGAAAUAAGACUACAUUCUUUCCUUGAAGGGAAAGGAAAAAUUAUGAGAAAAGAAAAAAAAUGGAAAUGAAAUUUAUGUAAAUAGGGAAGGGUGGAGGGGGUGAAGGGCACAAAGGUAAUGGGGAAAAAAAUAAGAACCAAGAUACAUCAUGUACAGCUACAAGCAUCCAAUGAUAAAUAUAAAUGUAUUGUAUACCUAAAAUG